rnacentral:misc_RNA from 1 species
CGGAGGAAAAGAAACCAACAGGGAUUGCCCUAGUAACGGCGAGUGAAGCGGCAAUAGCUCAAAUUUGAAAGCUGGCCUCUGGUCCGCAUUGUAAUUUGUAGAGGAUGCUUUUAGGCAGCCGCCGGUCUAAGUUCCUUGGAACAGGACGUCAUAGAGGGUGAGAAUCCCGUAUGUGACCGGCUCAGGCACCUUAUGUAAAGCUCCUUCGACGAGUCGAGUUGUUUGGGAAUGCAGCUCUAAAUGGGAGGUAAAUUUCUUCUAAAGCUAAAUACUGGCGAGAGACCGAUAGCGCACAAGUAGAGUGAUCGAAAGAUGAAAAGCACUUUGGAAAGAGAGUUAAAAAGCACGUGAAAUUGUUGAAAGGGAAGCGCUUGCAAUCAGACUUGGCCUCGGAUGUUCAACCGGUCUUCUGACCGGCCUAUUCAUUCGGGGCCAGGCCAGCAUCAGUUUCGGCGGCCGGAUAAAGGCCUUGGGAAUGUGGCUUUCCUUCGGGGAAGUGUUAUAGCCCAGGGUGUAAUACGGCAGCUGGACUGAAGUCCGCCUUCGGCUAGGAUGCUGGCGUAAUGGUGUAA